GGCACAGACACACCCCUUGUCCCCAGCCUGCAGUGGCUUCCUCCUCUCUUGGAAGAGCAGCCUCGAUUUCCAAACAGAAUGGCCUAGAAUGUCCUCUGCUCCACACCCCAAAGAAGGUCUCCAUGAGGGUGAUGGUGAAGAGGGGUGGGCAAUUCAUUGUGCACCUACCGCACCAGGACUGUCCUGCCAUGCUCCGAGGUCUGGAUCCAGGGGCCUCCUCCCUUGACUGUGAGCGAGUAGGCGGGAAGAACCUGGGUGACCUGGUUCACGCUAUGUGUCUUCAGGCAAGCGGCUUGGCCUCUCUGACCAUGCAUGAAUGGCUCUUUGGGAUGUUAUAGAAUGGCUCCUGCCUCUGGUGCUCUUCUGAGAGAAUGGAUGUGAACCGAAGGUGUCUUGCCAACUGGAAGGCCUUGUGCUCGUGCGCUUUCCUUUGGGAGUGUAUAAACACGUGUGCUUGCCAGCACCCGUUUUCCUUGGCUCUAGGAGCCCAGCACCUGUGGGACUCCGGAACUGGUCCCAAAUUCCACCCAAUCCACAACUCCUCCCACCAGACAUGUGGGGAGGAAACCAUAUGGCUCUUAUAUCCUGACUGGGUUUGGUUUUGCCCCGAGACAAUACAUCCUGCAAGUUUCUCUGCUUGGAACUUAUUUUCCAAGCCUCAGGCUAGAACAGAUUUCAUCUCAAGGAGGGCAGAGGAGGCUGGGAACGUCCUCAGCCCGGGCACAGGUCUGGCUCGAGUGAAGAGCACCUGGGCCUGGCCCACAUGGGGGAGAGAGAGCCCGAUGACGGAGGACUGACAGGCCACUGCUGUCAUGAGUGAUGUCAUCCCCCUGGGCCUGCCCUCCUAGUGCCACCCAGGGAAACACCCCCUGGACUCAAAGCGCUGGACACUGGUGUUCAAGCACUGGCCUCACAGCGGCCCCCAGUACAAAGCACCCUCCAAAUUCAACCCCUGCCAACAUUGUCCAGCCCCACUCCAUCAGUCAGCUCAGCCACCUGGCUCUCAGAAUCUCCAAUGUCACCUGGUGCAACCCAUCUCAGCACCCCUGAGCACUGCCAGUCCCACCCAGGCCAGCCUCACCCUUCCGACCCAUCCCUCCCUUUCUGCUUGGCUUGUAGGGACAGAUGUUAUAGAUUUGGGCCUCUUCCCUUCCCUCUUUCUAGAGUGUCUUUGUGUCUCACUAAAAAGCCAACACUGAAUUUCCCAGACUGGCCUAUCAAGAGAGCUAGGGAUCUGAUGUGGAUUCUGCCAAGAGCUGUCUAUUCACGCAGAAGUGAACCAAGUGUGUGUGUGUGUGGGGGAGGGGAGGUGCAGAGAGUGGGGGAAGGAGGCAUCCAUUUAAAACAUUUAUAGAGACAAACAUAUGCAAACUUAGAGUAUAGAGUACCUCUAUGUCCCCCCCAACCCUGCUUCCCAGUUAUGACCAUCUCCCCAAUUUUGUAUGAUCUAUUCAAAGAAUUUCCUCACCACAUGUUUUUGGCUGGAGACGAAGCCUGUCAGUGCCUCCACACCGAGGUGUGCGUUCAGCUGGUGUGGACAUGCGAUGAGCCUGGCUCUGGAGCCAGAAGCUGGAGCGGCGGCUUCCUGAUUUGGCAGAUGGCUUCCUGAUGGUUUGCAAAAGGAGAGGCCGCCUUGGUGGUCCAGUUCUGCAGUCAGCUUGGGGAGUUUGUCCUGAAGAUGCAGCCUAGAAUCUGUUUCUUCAGCUUUCCAAAUAUUUCUUGUCCCUACAGUGAUUUCUGGGUAUUCAAGACACCCAGGGACACGCUCCACACCGUCCCAGCUCUGCCUGCCUAGAGACUGCCCCCGGAACCUCUGCUGCUACACAGCCUAUUCGUUAGCAGGUGGGAUAUCUCUAAUCGGAAUCUAAAGAUGUCCUGCCCUGAUCUCGGGAACUCCUGAAGAUACUGAGACAUGGCUCCUGUGAUUGUGUUAUAUGGAACACUUCACUGUAAGUCAGGGAUAUUAUCUUGGAUUAUCUGGGUGGUCCCAGAGUAAUCACAUGAGCCCUUAAAAUGCAGCAAGCUUUCUCCAGCUGCCAGCAGAGCAGAAAGUCAGAGACACACAUAGGGAAACUUAGAGGUACUUGAAGUGUGACAAUGACUUGCCACACGGUUGCUGGCUUUGAAAAUGGAGGCAACAUGUGCGAAGGCAUGUGUGUGGCCCCGGGAAACUGUCAGUCGGCAAGAAUCAGGGAACGCAGAUCUACAACUGCAAGGGGCUGGAUUUUGCCCACCCUCUGGACGAGAUUGGAAGUGCCUUCUUCCCAGCACCGCCCAGAAGACUCCAGCCAGCACCUUGACUGGGUCUGUAAGACCCGAGCAGAGGACUCAGAUAGCCCAUCUGGAUUUCUGGGCUACAGAACUGUGAGAUAAUGAAUGAAUGUUUCUGUAAACUGCCGACUUCAUGGUGAUUUGUUAAGUAGCAAUAAAACAAAAAUGCCUCA